rnacentral:rRNA from 1 species
AUUGAACGCUGGCGGCAGGCCUAACACAUGCAAGUCGAGCGAGCGGCGGACGGGUGAGUAAUGUCUGGGAAACUGCCUCGUAUUGGGGGAUAACGUCCGGAAACGGGCGCUAAUACCGCAUACCAUCAGAUGUGCCCCGAUGGGAUUAGCUAGUAGGUGGGGUAACGGCUCACCUGGGCGACGAUCCCUAGCUGGUCUGAGAGGAUGACAAGCAACACGGGAACUGAGACACGGUCCAUACUCCUACGGGAGGCAGCAGGGGGGAAUAUUGCACAAUGGGCGCAAGCCGGAUGCAGCCAUGCCGCGUGUGUGAAGAAGGCCUUCGGGUUGUAAAGCACUUUCAGCGGGGAGGCGUUACCCGCAGAAGAAGCACCGGCUAACUCCGUGCCAGCAGCCGCGGUAAUUC